UAACGGUUCAGGGAGAGCGAGCGGCCGCGGCGCGGCUCCGGCAGCGGCAGCAGCGGAGGGGGGCAGAGAGCACUACUUUCUACUUUCCCACUCCACUUUGCCCGUCUCUGCCCCGGCCGCCCCCAGCCCGGCUCGCCCCCCUCACCCCCGGGGGCGCCCCGGCUGCCCGGCUCCCCCUGACUCCGCCGCUCCCCGGUCCCCUCCGCCACUCACCGUUAUUGCGCCGCGGGUUCGCCUGCUUUCUGCGCUUACACCUGGGGCCAUCCGCCAUGAUCCUCUCGCUUGUGUCUAAAUGCUCGAGUCACCUCCUCCCCCUCCCUCCCCCUUCCCCCCCACCCCUCCGCCUCCACCCCUCCCCCCUCCCCACCGCACCUGGUUUACGACACUCGCGGCUUUACGACAUCACCUUCCUUACACCUAGAGCCGCUCGCUCUACGGCCGGAACCUCGUUGCUAGGGAGAGGACGGUUUGCGGCAACCGUAGAAGCAGCUGAGUUUGAAUUGAGGGGAGAGGGAAAAGUUUCCCUCAGGUGUCGUGGGAUGGAGGAGGGGGGCGUUGGGAAACUGUGGAGACGCGGUCUGAAGCGCGGCAGGCAGUUGGGAGUGAGAAAGAUAUUUCAUGGUGUUCUACAUCAAGCAUAUGAUUUUCUCGUACCUCACUUCCUGAACACAUUUGGGAAGUAUAACUUAUAAUACGAUUUUAUAAUCUCCAUCAAGAUAAGAAGUUGGUUGUUUUCAUUGGAAGAUAACAUUAACUGCAUCAGCUCAAUAGUGACUCUGGACAUGGAGUUCACAAUGAGACAAAAGAGGGCAAUGGUAGUUUAACUGCUGCAGUUUGACCAAAUUCUACAGUCACUGAGUCAGGAAGGAAACAGAGUGAUCCAGAACCAACAGCUGUCUUUGGGACCCACACCAACUCUUCUAAUAAAGUCUUCCAGGAGGUAAUAAUAGGGACAAAUGGUUUCCCCAAACCUCCAUAUGGUUUUAUUAUAUAUUGCACCAUAAAAUGUUUUUUUCCUCUUGGGUGUAAGUCUCCUAUUUUUAAUAUAAGUCAAUGAAAUGUUAACACACAGAGCUUAUUUGGGGGGCAUUUUUUUUAGGAACAUGUCUAAUACGGACAUAUGUAACUCUAAAUAAAUGUAGAAAAAAUAUGUUUGGAGGGUGUUAAUGAACAUCCAAAAACUAAAACUAAUCUUUCCAUAAAAUCACAGUAAUUAAUAUGAUUGUUUUCAAAGGCUGCCUUCACGGAAGAGAGUUUCUUUUAGAACAUGUAUAACAUUUUUUUUUUUUGUAUACUUGACAACUAUAGGUAAAUUAAAGAGCCAUGUGCAUAUUCUGGAUUUCAGUGAAUUUACCCUAUCAGGGAUCUGAUACCUGAUUUCUACUGCUGAUUUUCCCCCCUCUUGUCUCCUUGUAUGUCUUUUCUGUGGCAUCUUGAUUUUUUUUUUUUUUUUAAGUAGCUGACUGGUUCUGUGACAGAGUGUAGCUAUUUCAUUGACCUAUAGUCCACAGAUCCUCAGUUACAGUCACUGCCACUUUUCAUUCCUUGGAGUAUAUAUAUAUGUUUUUUUUAAUAUUAGCAGUCAGUAAAAGGUUUUCAAUGUCCCACAAUUGUGUUGAGCUCACAUGAAAAAGUUGGCAAUAAGAAACACCCUGUGUUGAAUUAUAUCCACAACUUUAAGAUCAUUGGUCAGACCCUUCUCAUUCUUUCAUAUGCCUCUAUUUCUAGCUCACUCUCUUUAUCCUAAUUACAUAAAUAGAUCACAGACUCUGCCCCUCUCCACUGGUUUAUGUUUUAAUCAUUCUCCUCAUCUUUCUUUGUGCCAGGUCUAACAUACCUAUUUGGAUCAAUUCCUUUCUCUCUUUGUUCAAAGUAUUUUAAGUCAUCCCAACUCUGUAAAAUGCUUUGAUUUUUCAUAUUCUGGUCUUUCUUUGUCCCUCAAAGUCCAUUCUCUGCAUUUUUAUGUUCUUAGAGGCUAAUUUUUAUGGACCACAACACCCAGGAUCCUUUGCCCUCUGGUUUCUGUUUGGUUUCAACCAAUUUGGAGGCCUUGGCAAAUGAUCACAUGAAGGAAAGAGAGAUAGGUCAGGAUAUUUAUUGCACCUUCCCCCAUACUCCGCCCCGCCUGUUUGUGGCUUUUGGCAGUAACUUCAUUCCUCUACCUAGGGCCAUGGUUCUAGUCAUACAACCCUAUCUCAUGGCAACAGGUCUUGGCAAGUUCCAGCAACUGCUUCCCUUUGUCCCUUCAGGCCUAGGGAUGGCAAUGGUGUCCAUAUAUUAUGAAUCCUUGGGGACUUUAUUCCUUAUUGGUUCCCCUAAAGCCUGCCCACAUCUCUGUAAAUAGUCUCUUCAUCAAACUCUCUUCAGUUUACCCUUUGAGUGUGCCAUUUGCUUCCUGCCAGGCCCCUCAAUACUUAUACAUAGAGAAAUAAAAUACAUUUACCCUUAUUUAUCAAUCCAGAAUUUUAUUUCUAUUGAUCACAACACUAAAGUUUGCAUAUGAUAUAAAUAUUUCAGUGACUAAGUAUAUACUCAUGUACUAUGUGUACAUGCAAAAUCUGACAAAUACUUAGAAAUAUUCCAGAGUCUACUACAUAGUAAUUAUUCAGUAACUAUUUGUAGAAUGAAGGCCUCUGUGCUAAUGAUAUGAAAUCUAAGAGAGACUACUUUUAUAUACUUAAAACAUGAAGGGGAAAAGAAAAUCUUAAUACCACAGUAUUAAGUUGGAGAUAACUGGUUGUCUCCAGUAUGUUUCUUCUUAAUAAUGGAACCCUCCCCUCCUACCCAUGGCUACUUGAAUGGUCUUUUCACAAAUCUCGGUGUUACUGUGCUACUCAGUUCUGGCCAGUGAGAUAUAGGUGGAGGUGAUGUGUGUAAUGUUGAGGAAGUCUGUCCUUCAAAAGGAGAUGGUUCACCAUUCUUUCUCUUCUUGCUGGUUUGAAUCAGAACUGCUAGCUAGAGCUUCUUAAGAUUAAGAAAGAUAGAGCAACAAGAUUGAAGGGUCCCAAGUCCUUGACAUGAUAGAAUACCAUAACUAACCCUAGACU